GACGAACGCUGGCGGCGUGCUUAACACAUGCAAGUCGAGCGGUAAGGCCCUUUCGGGGGUACGACGAGCGGCGAACGGGUGAGUAACACGUGGGUGACCUGCCCUCAGCUCUGGGAUAAGCCUGGGAAACCGGGGUCUAAUACCGGAUAUGACUCCAUGACGCAUGUUGUGGGGUGGAAAGCCUUGUGCGGCUGAGGAUGGGCCCGCGGCCUAUCAGCUUGUUGGUGGGGUGAUGGCCUACCAAGGCGACGACGGGUAGCCGGCCUGAGAGGGCGACCGGCCACACUGGGGACUGAGACACGGCCCAGACUCCUACGGGAGGCAGCAGUGGGGGAAUCUUGCGCAAUGGGCGAAAGCCUGACGCAGCGACGCCGCGUGAGGGAUGACGGCCU
rnacentral:rRNA from 1 species